rnacentral:rRNA from 1 species
GCCCCGGCUAACUACGUGCCAGCAGCCGCGGUAAUACGUAGGGGGCGAGCGUUGUCCGGAAUUAUUGGGCGUAAAGGGUACGUAGGCGGCUUUUUAAGUUUGACGUGAAAGCCCGGGGCUUAACUCCGGCAAGCGUUGAAAACUGGAGGGCUUGAGUGAUGGAAGGGACAGUGGAAUUCCUGGUGUAGUGGUGAAAUGCGCAGAGAUCAGGAAGAAUACCAGUGGCGAAGGCGACUGUCUGGACAUUAACUGACGCUGAGGUACGAAAGCGUGGGGAGCAAACAGGAUCAGAUACCCUGGUAGUCCACGCUGUAAACGAUGAGUGCAAGGUGUUGGGGGUCAAACCUCGGUGCCGCCGUUAACACAGUAAGCACUCCGCCUGGGGAGUACGUACGCA